rnacentral:rRNA from 1 species
GUCAGAUGUGAAAUCCUGGAGCUCAACUUCAGAACAGCAUUUGAAACUCUCUUUCUAGAGGGUAGGCGGAGAAAACGGAAUUCCACAAGUAGCGGUGAAAUGCGUAGAUAUGUGGAAGAACACCGGUGGCGAAGGCGGUUUUCUAGCUUAUUCCUGACGCUGAGGCACGAGAGCAAGGGGAUCAAACAGGAUUAGAUACCCUGGUAGUCCUUGCCGUAAGCUAUGUAUACUUGGUGUAACUGGACUCAACCCCGGUUGUGCCGUAGCUAACGCGAUAAGUAUACCGCCUGGGGAGUACGCUCGCAAGGGGUGAAACUCAAAAGAAUUGACGGGGACCCGCACAAGCAGUGGAGCAUGUGGUUUAAUUCGAUGCAACGCGAAGAACCUUACCCAGACUUGACAUACAGUGGAAGUUAGCAGAAAUGUUAACGCCCUCCGGGGCCGCUGAACAGGUGCUGCAUGGCUGUCGUCAGCUCGUGCCGUGAGGUGUUGGGUUAAGUCCCGCAACGAGCGCAACCCUUAUCGUUAGUUGCCAACAGGUAAAGCUGGGAACUCUAGCGAGACUGCCUGGGUUAACCAGGAGGAAGGUGAGGAUGACGUCAAGUCCGCAUGGCCCUUAUGUCUGGGGCUACACACGUGCUACAAUGGCC